AUUGAACGCUGGCGGCAGGCUUAACACAUGCAAGUCGAACGAGUGGCGGACGGGUGAGUAAUGCUUGGGAAUCUAGCUUAUGGAGGGGGAUAAUUACGGGAAACUUUGGCUAAUACGGCUAACCUUGGGAUGGGCCAAGGUGGGAUUGGGUAGUGGGUGGGGUAACGGCUCACCAAGCCGACGAUCUCUAGCUGGUCUGAGAGGAUGAUCAGCCACACUGGGACUGAGACACGGCCCAGACUCCUACGGGAGGCAGCAGUGGGGAAUAUUGCACAAUGGGCGCAAGCCUGAUGCAGCCAUGCCGCGUGUAUGAAGAAGGCCUUAGGGUUGUAAAGUACUUUCAGCGGGGAGGCGUUACCCGCAGAAGAAGCACCGGCUAACUCCGUGCCAGCAGCCGCGGUAAUAC
rnacentral:rRNA from 1 species